AACCUCCACAAUGCACGAAAGUGUGAUGGGGGGAUUCUGAGUGCUUACAGUUUAACUGUAGGCUUUUCGUUAGGGUAAAUACCUAGCGGAAUAAGUGGUGGGCAAGACUGGUGCCAGCCGCCGCGGUAACCCCAGCGCCACAAGUGGGAACCACGUUUAUUUGGUCUAAAGCAUUCGUAGCCUGUUUGGCAAAUGCCCUGUGAAAUCGUUGUGCUCAACACAACGGCGGGCAGGGUAGACUACCAAACUAGGGACCAGGGUAGGGAAGCGGUAUUCCUGAGGGAGCGGUAAAAUGUGAUAAUCUCAGGAGGACCACCAAUGGCGAAGGCAGCUUCCUAAAAUGGAUCCGACGGUGAGGAAUGAAAGCUAGGGGAGCGAUCCGGAUUAGAUACCCGAGUAGUCCUAGCCGUAAACGCUGCAUGCCAGAUGUUACACAAUCCUCGAGAUUGUGUAGUGUCGUAACGAAGGUGUUAAGCAUGCCACCUGGGAAGUACGGUCGCAAGUCUGAAACUUAAAGGAAUUGGCGGGGGAGCACCACAAGGGGUGCGGCGUGCGGUUUAAUUGAAUUCAACGCCGGAAAUCUCACCAGUGGCGACGGCAGUAUGAAGCUCAGUCUAAAGGGCUUAGCUGACGAGCCGAGAGGUGAUGCAUGGCCGCCGUCAGCUCGUGCCGUGAGGUGUCCUGUUAAGUCAGGUAACGAGCGAGACCUGUGUCCACUGUUGCUACCGUGUCCGUAAGGAUGAGCGAGCACACUGUGGAGACUGCCUCCGAAAGGGGGAGGAAGGCGCAGGCUACGGCAGGUCUGUACGUCCCGAAUCUGCUGGGCUACACGCGCGCAACAAUGGUCGUGACAAUUGGAUGCAACACCGAAAGGUGAAGCCAAACCUCGAAACACGACCCUAGUAUGAAUUGAGGGCUGCAACUCGCCCUCAUGACAUCGGAAUCCCUAGUAAUCAGAGGUUAGCAUCCUCCGGUGAAUACGUCCCUG
rnacentral:rRNA from 1 species